AGCAUAAUCACUUGUUCUUUAAAUGAGGACUAGUAUGAACCCCAUCACGAGGGCUUUACUUUCUCCUUUCUCCAAUCAGUGGGGCUGACCCCCCUGUGAUGAGGCAGGGAUAUUUUUAUAAGACGAGAAAUCCCCAUGGAGCUUUAAACCCAACAACAGCUUAAACAGCCCACUCAUCAAAGUUUUAAAAGUAUUGUUAGUUGGUUUUAGGUUGGGGUGACCGCGGAGUACAAAUCACCCUCCGCGACGAAUGGGCCUACCGCCCUUACCCAAGAAUUACACCUCUAAGGAUUAACACAUUAACGUAGAUUGAUCCAAAUAUUUGAUCAACGAACCAAGUUACCCUGGGGAUAACAGCGCAAUCCAUUUUUAGAGCCCCUAUCGACAAAUGGGUUUACGACCUCGAUGUUGGAUCAGGGUAUCCCGGAGGUGCAGCCG
rnacentral:rRNA from 1 species